rnacentral:rRNA from 1 species
UACGUAGGGUGCAAGCGUUAUCCGGAAUUAUUGGGCGUAAAGAGCUCGUAGGCGGUUUGUCGCGUUGUUCGUGAAAACCGGGGGCUUAACUCUCGGCGUGCGGGCGAUACGGGCAGACUGGAGUACUGCAGGGGAGACUGGAAUUCCUGGUGUAGCGGUGGAAUGCGCAGAUAUCAGGAGGAACACCGGUGGCGAAGGCGGGUCUCUGGGCAGUAACUGACGCUGAGACGCGAAAGCGUGGGGAGCGAACAGG